rnacentral:rRNA from 1 species
UUAAGCGACUAAGCGUACACGGUGGAUGCCCUGGCAGUCAGAGGCGAUGAAGGACGUGCUAAUCUGCGAUAAGCGUCGGUAAGGUGAUAUGAACCGUUAUAACCGGCGAUUUCCGAAUGGGGAAACCCAGUGUGUUUCGACACACUAUCAUUAACUGAAUCCAUAGGUUAAUGAGGCGAACCGGGGGAACUGAAACAUCUAAGUACCCCGAGGAAAAGAAAUCAACCGAGAUUCCCCCAGUAGCGGCGAGCGAACGGGGAGCAGCCCAGAGCCUGAAUCAGUGUGUGUGUUAGUGGAAGCGUCUGGAAAGGCGCGCGAUACAGGGUGACAGCCCCGUACACAAAAAUGCACAUGCUGUGAGCUCGAUGAGUAGGGCGGGACACGUGGUAUCCUGUCUGAAUAUGGGGGGACCAUCCUCCAAGGCUAAAUACUCCUGACUGACCGAUAGUGAACCAGUACCGUGAGGGAAAGGCGAAAAGAACCCCGGCGAGGGGAGUGAAAAAGAACCUGAAACCGUGUACGUACAAGCAGUGGGAGCACGCUUAGGCGUGUGACUGCGUACCUUUUGUAUAAUGGGUCAGCGACUUAUAUUCUGUAGCAAGGUUAACCGAAUAGGGGAGCCGAAGGGAAACCGAGUCUUAACUGGGCGUUAAGUUGCAGGGUAUAGACCCGAAACCCGGUGAUCUAGCCAUGGGCAGGUUGAAGGUUGGGUAACACUAACUGGAGGACCGAACCGACUAAUGUUGAAAAAUUAGCGGAUGACUUGUGGCUGGGGGUGAAAGGCCAAUCAAACCGGGAGAUAGCUGGUUCUCCCCGAAAGCUAUUUAGGUAGCGCCUCGUGAAUUCAUCUCCGGGGGUAGAGCACUGUUUCGGCAAGGGGGUCAUCCCGACUUACCAACCCGAUGCAAACUGCGAAUACCGGAGAAUGUUAUCACGGGAGACACACGGCGGGUGCUAACGUCCGUCGUGGAGAGGGAAACAACCCAGACCGCCAGCUAAGGUCCCAAAGUCAUGGUUAAGUGGGAAACGAUGUGGGAAGGCCCAGACAGCCAGGAUGUUGGCUUAGAAGCAGCCAUCAUUUAAAGAAAGCGUAAUAGCUCACUGGUCGAGUCGGCCUGCGCGGAAGAUGUAACGGGGCUAAACCAUGCACCGAAGCUGCGGCAGCGACGCUUAUGCGUUGUUGGGUAGGGGAGCGUUCUGUAAGCCUGCGAAGGUGUGCUGUGAGGCAUGCUGGAGGUAUCAGAAGUGCGAAUGCUGACAUAAGUAACGAUAAAGCGGGUGAAAAGCCCGCUCGCCGGAAGACCAAGGGUUCCUGUCCAACGUUAAUCGGGGCAGGGUGAGUCGACCCCUAAGGCGAGGCCGAAAGGCGUAGUCGAUGGGAAACAGGUUAAUAUUCCUGUACUUGGUGUUACUGCGAAGGGGGGACGGAGAAGGCUAUGUUGGCCGGGCGACGGUUGUCCCGGUUUAAGCGUGUAGGCUGGUUUUCCAGGCAAAUCCGGAAAAUCAAGGCUGAGGCGUGAUGACGAGGCACUACGGUGCUGAAGCAACAAAUGCCCUGCUUCCAGGAAAAGCCUCUAAGCAUCAGGUAACAUCAAAUCGUACCCCAAACCGACACAGGUGGUCAGGUAGAGAAUACCAAGGCGCUUGAGAGAACUCGGGUGAAGGAACUAGGCAAAAUGGUGCCGUAACUUCGGGAGAAGGCACGCUGAUAUGUAGGUGAGGUCCCUCGCGGAUGGAGCUGAAAUCAGUCGAAGAUACCAGCUGGCUGCAACUGUUUAUUAAAAACACAGCACUGUGCAAACACGAAAGUGGACGUAUACGGUGUGACGCCUGCCCGGUGCCGGAAGGUUAAUUGAUGGGGUCAGCGCAAGCGAAGCUCUUGAUCGAAGCCCCGGUAAACGGCGGCCGUAACUAUAACGGUCCUAAGGUAGCGAAAUUCCUUGUCGGGUAAGUUCCGACCUGCACGAAUGGCGUAAUGAUGGCCAGGCUGUCUCCACCCGAGACUCAGUGAAAUUGAACUCGCUGUGAAGAUGCAGUGUACCCGCGGCAAGACGGAAAGACCCCGUGAACCUUUACUAUAGCUUGACACUGAACAUUGAGCCUUGAUGUGUAGGAUAGGUGGGAGGCUUUGAAGUGUGGACGCCAGUCUGCAUGGAGCCGACCUUGAAAUACCACCCUUUAAUGUUUGAUGUUCUAACGUGGACCCGUAAUCCGGGUUGCGGACAGUGUCUGGUGGGUAGUUUGACUGGGGCGGUCUCCUCCUAAAGAGUAACGGAGGAGCACGAAGGUUGGCUAAUCCUGGUCGGACAUCAGGAGGUUAGUGCAAUGGCAUAAGCCAGCUUGACUGCGAGCGUGACGGCGCGAGCAGGUGCGAAAGCAGGUCAUAGUGAUCCGGUGGUUCUGAAUGGAAGGGCCAUCGCUCAACGGAUAAAAGGUACUCCGGGGAUAACAGGCUGAUACCGCCCAAGAGUUCAUAUCGACGGCGGUGUUUGGCACCUCGAUGUCGGCUCAUCACAUCCUGGGGCUGAAGUAGGUCCCAAGGGUAUGGCUGUUCGCCAUUUAAAGUGGUACGCGAGCUGGGUUUAGAACGUCGUGAGACAGUUCGGUCCCUAUCUGCCGUGGGCGCUGGAGAACUGAGGGGGGCUGCUCCUAGUACGAGAGGACCGGAGUGGACGCAUCACUGGUGUUCGGGUUGUCAUGCCAAUGGCACUGCCCGGUAGCUAAAUGCGGAAGAGAUAAGUGCUGAAAGCAUCUAAGCACGAAACUUGCCCCGAGAUGAGUUCUCCCUGACCCUUUAAGGGUCCUGAAGGAACGUUGAAGACGACGACGUUGAUAGGCCGGGUGUGUAAGCGCAGCGAUGCGUUGAGCUAACCGGUACUAAUGAACCGUGAGGCUUAACCUU